rnacentral:rRNA from 1 species
GAUGAACGCUGGCGGCGUGCCUAAUACAUGCAAGUCGAGCGAACAGACGAGGAGCUUGCUCCUCUGACGUUAGCGGCGGACGGGUGAGUAACACGUGGAUAACCUACCUAUAAGACUGGGAUAACUUCGGGAAACCGGAGCUAAUACCGGAUAAUAUAUUGAACCGCAUGGUUCAAUAGUGAAAGACGGUUUUGCUGUCACUUAUAGAUGGAUCCGCGCUGCAUUAGCUAGUUGGUAAGGUAACGGCUUACCAAGGCAACGAUGCGUAGCCGACCUGAGAGAGUGAUCGGCCACACUGGAGCUGAGACACGGUCAAGACUCCUACGGGAGGCAGCAGUAGGGAAUCUUCCGCAAUGGGCGAAAGCUUGACGGAGCAGCGCCGCGUGAGUGAUGAAGGUCUUCGGAUCGGAAAACUCUGUUAUUAGGGAAGAACAAAUGUGUAAGUAACUAUGCACGUCUUGACGGUACCUAAUCAGAAAGCCACGGCUAACUACGUG